rnacentral:lncRNA from 1 species
AAAGAAAAACCACACAUUAAUAGUGUAUUUACAUGUAUAACAAAGAAAAUAAAACAAAUGUAUACAACAAAAGAACUAGGACGACAAGGAUGAAUGAGUAACCUUUAUAGUGCAAUCCCAAUGCAUAAUAGCUCUUUACAACUUUCCAAACAAAUCUUAAAAAUAAAAAUAAAUACAAUAUUUCUCACCAUAAAAAACUAAAAGAAAAAAAAAAAAAAAAAAAACAAGAAUGAGAGUCGUCUUCCUCCCCUUAAUCUUCUUCCCAAAUCCUCUUUUUGAUAAAAUCACAUUCCCCUCAACCGUUGCUCCUAUCCAUGUCCUGCCUUCAACCACUUC